rnacentral:rRNA from 1 species
AUGGAAGAGGAGAUGGAGCAGUCUGAGCCCAUGGAGAAUGAGGUAGAGGACCACAGGCUGAUGGAGGAGGAGGAGCCUGCGGUUGUGCUUGCAUUGGUCGAGCCACCCAUAGAGAGGAGGGUGACCGAAGGCGGAGGGAGGAGUGAGGAGGGCACAACUGGAGGAGGAGGGCGCGGUCGGAGGAGGAGGAGGAAGUGGCCGGAGGAGAAGGAGGAGGGCGCGGUUGGAGGAGGAGAGAGGAGGGCGGUGGAAGGAGGAGAGAGGAGAGGGCAUACCGAGGAGGAGGACGAUAGCGGCAAUGCGGCGGCAGUGGUGACGAGGAUGACGAUGAGAGAGUGGAGAGGGAGAGCUUUAAGGGGAAGUGGAGGGUGA